rnacentral:misc_RNA from 1 species
UCGUAGGAGCUUACGGCUCCUUCGAGGGAGCACCCUUGCCUUUUCGAGCACCUGUUUGUUUCCUCGGCAGGCCCGCCUGCCAAUGGGGGACCCUUGAAACUCUUGCAACAACCUGAUACAAAAUCGUCUGAAUAAAAAAAAAAUCUAAAUCA